CAAAUGGGUAAAGGUCACUUCACAACCAACAUUAUCACUGGUAUAUAAUGUCAAAAUGUCUCUAAGACAGUUUUAGAGUUUGCGCCCUUGGUAUAAUGAUCAUUUAUCGCACUGUUCACUGGAAAUAAAAAAGACAUCUCUCACCUGAACUGAAGACCGGCUCCCCUCCCCCUUCUCUAACUGCACUUUCAAAAAUAGGCGGAAUGGAAACAGAAUAUUCCAAAAGAGUCUAUCAGGGGGUCAGAGUCAAACAUACCGUGAAGGACCUGCUGGCAGAGAAAAGAUCGAGACAGACCAACGUGCCCAGGUUCAAUGGCGGAGCAAAUUCUUCACAGCCUGCUUUUGUCCAAAUGUCAGGUAAGCCUUUGAAAGCUUUUAGCAAAACAGGCAUUUGUUCCUA